GGCUGGCCCUGGAUGCGGUCAAGAAACCUGCAGCGGCGGCGCCCAUCGACCAUCAGCACAGCGGCAGGCUUUGAAGGAUCUGCAAUGAGCUCGAGUAGGGAUUGUUCCGUUCAUCUUUGGUGACUGUGCCUACCUGCAGCAUCCUCUGUAUUUCUAUCAAUGGAUGAUUUUCAGAAUAUAGGUCCUGGAGCGCGUCCGCGAGAUGGGCGGCGGCGUGGAGGAUGACUGGCGAGCGCGAUGGAGGCGGACGAGACGAUGGUGGUGGCGGGCGAGAGGAGGCACUGCUGGAGCGCGUCCUGUGGAGGGUGGCGACGGCCAGUCUUUGCACAAGCUAGAGUUUGGAUGUCUAGGGAUUCACCGAGAGCGACAACAACCACCAUUGGCCUUCGUGGACUCCAUUGCUGCCCC